rnacentral:miRNA from 1 species
UUUUUAGUAUAAAUAUGUCCUAUGAAAUAUUUAAAGUGGGAUAUACUUACACUAAAA